rnacentral:misc_RNA from 1 species
CAGAGUUGCAAAACUCCCAAACCCACUGUGAACCUACCUAUUUGUUCCUUCGGCAGGCGGCCCCCGGGGGGGCUUCGCCGCAAGGCGCCUGCCGCGGGACAACCAAACUCUUGCUGUUUUAGUGUCUUCUGAGCAACUAUAAACAAGUCA